AGCAGCCGCGGCAAUUCCAGCUCCAAUAGCGUAUAUUAAAGUUGUUGCAGUUAAAAAGCUCGUAGUUGAAUUUUGGGUCUGGCCGGGCGGUCCGCCCUCCGGGUGAGCACUGUUCCGACGCCGGGCCUAUCCUUCUGGUGAGUCGGCAUGUCCUUUGUUGGGUGUGUCGGGGAACCAGGACCAUUACCUUGAAAAAUUAGAGUGUUCAAGGCAGGCGUAUGCUCGGAUACAUUAGCAUGGAAUAAUGAAAUAGGACGCGUGGUGCUAUUUUGUUGGUUUCUAGAACCGCCGUAAUGAUUAAUAGGGAUAGUUGGGGGCAUUAGUAUUCAAUUGUCAGAGGUGAAAUUCUUGGAUUUAUUGAAGACUAACUUCUGCGAAAGCAUUUGCCAAGGAUGUUUUCAUUAAUCAAGAACGAAAGUUAGGGGAUCGAAGACGAUCAGAUACCGUCGU
rnacentral:rRNA from 1 species